rnacentral:lncRNA from 1 species
UUUCUGGCAGUUGCACUAGAAGCAGUCCUAGAAUUUUCAGAAACUCCUGGAUGAGUGCAAGGACCAAUGCCGGCGUCAGAUAUCUGCGAGGAGUCAAAUGUUUGGACAAGACCCAUGUCCUGGCACAUGCAAGUAUCGCGUAGUAUCGCAUAGAUGCAGACCAGUGAACCACCAAAUAAAGACAGUGUGUGAGAAUGGUACACUGAGGCUUCAGUGCAGAGAUAAAUCUGUCUUGACAAUUUUUUCUGCAAGUUACGGCAAAUUCAUGGAAGGAAAACAAGAAUGUGGAGUAAUGAAUAAAAAUGGACCUGUUCAUAGAGUGCUUAGCUCCUGACACUCUACAAAGAGUCUUGAGACAAUGUCAAAAGAGAGAAAACGCUACAUUGUUUGCAGACACGCCUACUUUUGGUGAACCUUGUUUCCCAGGAGUGAAGAAACAGUUGCAAGUUUCCUUCAUAUGUGUGCCUAUAAAGCUGCUGCAACAAAUGGACCAUAGCUCACUGGACCCAUUUACACGGUCUGAUUAUAUAUAUGGGCUGCUCCCUCGGCUAGGGGUCUAAUCGGAGCUGUAGCCACCAGGCUAUGCCAGAGCCACAGCAACAUGGAAUCCAAGCUGCAUCUGCGACCUACACCACAGCUCACGGCAAUGCCGGAUCGUUAACCCACUGAGCAAGGGCAGGGACUGAACCUGCAACCUCAUGGUUCCUAGUCGGAUUCGUUAACCACUGAGCCACGACGGGAACUCCAAGAUAUGACUCCUUUUGAUCCGGCGACCUCGAAACUAAAAAUGACUGGAGAUGGAAAUAUUCCUUGAUUAGGUCUUGUUUUGUUGCUUGGGGGGUAACCCUCCAAGUCUAUCCUUAUCUGGGAAUCUUGGCAUUUUCCUCUGUUCAUUUAUCUUCAUUACUUUUUCUUUCUCUUCCUCGGACUGCAUACUUUCAAAGAACUAAAGGGAAGCAUGAGUAUGAUGUCUUACCAAAUGGAGAACUUCAAUAAAGAAAAACUGUAAAAAUUGAACUAAAUUCUGGAGCUGAAAAGUACAACUAAAAUGAAAAGUUCACUAGGAAGCUCAACAGCAUAUGUGAGCUGGCAGAAGAAUCAGCGAAAUUAAAGAUAGGCUAAUUGAAAUAGGAGGAUCCGUUUCGCCGAAGAAAACAAGUUGAGAGAAGAAUGAUAAAAUAGAUACAGGCAUACCUGAGAAAAUGGGCUUGCAUUUCCCGUGCGGCGUCUCCGGAGGACUUAUCUUUCCGUUAUGCAUCUUCCCUUCCAAAGUGACCUUUGUCCAGGACAUGAAAACUGUAUAAAUCCCAAGUUGAGCAAGAAAAAGCCACAGGAUGAGGAUGAAGACGAUAACCACGAAGAUGACAGUUCUUCUGGCUCCUCUUUUUGUCCUUUGCCUCACAGCCAUCCACCCGCAAAGAGCAUGUUUUGCCCCGAACUGCCUGCAGCUUUAGAGCACGCAGCUAAGGAAGGAAACCGAGAAAGAGAUGAAAUCUGGAUACCAAGGAAUCUAGUCCUUAUGCCAUUUACAAAAUCAAAUCUGCCGCAAGAUAAAAUGACCCAGGAUGUGCUAUUUACCGGAGUCCAAGUGUAAGGACAGAUGAUUCUAUGUUUUUUUUUUUAUAUAUAUUUUUUUAUAUAUAUA